rnacentral:lncRNA from 1 species
CGAUUAUUGUCUCUAUGCUUUAAAUCCCCUGGUUAGUAUUCAGGAAGGCGGCUUUAGCUCAGUGUGAAAUAUUGAAUUUCUGUGCCCCGGCAGUUCUGCAUGUGAUAAAAGUGCUGCUAAACUCUGUGGUAUUGCCUCCCUCCUCUCAAAAUACACCCAGCUUCAGAAAACCUGUUGUAUGUGAACAGAAAUGGCGACAGGGGACGAGCCUGAGGAACAGACGAAUGCAUUACACGCCACACAAGACAAGGGCGUUUUUACCGUGCAGUGGGGAAAUUACAUUAGUUGGAUGCCUAAGAAGUCUUCCCUGUUAUUGGAUUUCUGUUUGUGCUUUGACUACUCUUUAAGGCUACUCUUUAAGGCUAUGUCCAUACAAAAAUUGGUAUUUUCAAAACCACAGUUGUUUCUAUGCAGUUUGGCCAUUUGUCCAGAAAUAAACGCAGUAUCAGGUGACUGAAAUCAAAACUCUAAAAAC